rnacentral:tRNA from 1 species
GAGUACGUAGCUCAGUCGGUAGAGCAUAUGACUUUUAAUCAGAGGGUCGAUGGUUCGAAUCCAUCCGUACUCACCA